rnacentral:piRNA from 2 species
UGGCUUCUGGUGUGUGAUGACCUGAGA